rnacentral:tRNA from 1 species
GACGAGGUGGCCGCCAGUGGUUAAGGCGAUGGACUGCUAAUCCAUUGUGCUCUGCACGCGUGGGUUCGAAUCCCAUCCUCGUCG